rnacentral:rRNA from 1 species
GCGAUCUGCCGAAGCUGUGGGAUGUCAAAACGCAUUGGUAGGGGAGCGUUCCGUCUUAGAGGGAAGCAACCGCGAAAGCGGGGGUCGACGAAGCGGAAGCGAGAAUGUCGGCUUGAGUAACGAAAACAUUGGUGAGAAUCCAAUGCCCCGAAAACCCAAGGUUUCCUCCGCAAGGUUCGUCCACGGAGGGUGAGUCAGGGCCUAAGAUCAGGCCGAAAGGCGUAGUCGAUGGACAACAGGUCAAUAUUCCUGUACUACCCCUUAUUGGUACGGAGGGACGGAGGAGGCUAGGUUAGCCGAAAGAUGGUUAUAGGUUUAAGG